AACGUAGGACGCAAGCGUUAUCCGGAGUUACUGGGCGUAAAGCGCGGGCAGGCGGCUCGAUGCGUCUGAUGUGAAAUCUCCUCGCUCAACGGGGAGAGGCCAUUGGAAACGGACGGGCUGGAGGGCAGUAGAGGUAGGCGGAAUUCCGGGUGGAGUGGUGAAAUGCGUAGAGAUCCGGAGGAACCCCAGAGGCGAAGGCGGCCUACUGGGCUGACACUGAUGCUGAAGCGCGAAAGCUAGGGGAGCGAACGGG
rnacentral:rRNA from 1 species